AAGGAGGACAUACUGGCCCCGCCUCUCUCUGGCGCUUCUGGAGUUCAGGAGAUGUCAGUUAAAUGAAUGAAAGACCUGCAGAUAUACUCUCUCGGGAAGACAUACUGUCUUGGAAAGAUAUGUUCUCCCAGGAAAAAUACGAAAUCAUCAAUCAAUCAAAGGGAGUGUAGCAGCUGGGGUCAGGAAAGGAAGAUCGGAUCCAAAUGGCAGAGCCAGUGAGGACUCCAAGCACAGCCAGAGGACGGCGCCGCCUCGUCCCCUCUCACUCACGGGCACAAGACGCCCUUCCUCAGGACUGCCCACGCCGUCGGUCCCAACUUUUCGCCCUGCAGACGGCUGCCGACUUCCACUGCACUCCCAUCCGGGCCAGUCAGCGCCACCUACUGGCCAUUCCCCCUCCCAUCUGACCAUUCACGCUGUCGUCAUGUUGGCCCGCUUCUUGGUCACAGUUUACACAGCCAACAAGUUUAGGUAUUCGGUGCCCAAGACGCGCUUUUGCGUGUACCUUUGUUAUUCUGUCUCUUUAAAAUGCCUGUUAAGUCUGUUA